UACGUAGGGAGCAAGCGUUGUCCGGAAUCAUUGGGCGUAAAGCGCGCGUAGGCGGCCUCGUAAGUCCGUUGUGAAAGUCAAAGGCUCAACCUUUGAAAGCCGAUGGAUACUGUGAGGCUAGAGUCCGGAAGAGGCGAGUGGAAUUCCUGGUGUAGCGGUGGAAUGCGCAGAGAUCGGGAAGAACAUCAGUGGCGAAGGCGGUCUGCUGGGCCGUUGCUGACGCUGAUGCGCGACAGCGUGGGGAGCAAACAGG
rnacentral:rRNA from 1 species